rnacentral:rRNA from 1 species
AGAGUUUGAUCCUGGCUCAGGACUAACGUUGGCGACGUGCCUAACACAUGCAAGUCGAGCGAUCUUUAUGAUAGCGGCGGACGGCUGAGUAACACGUCCGUAACCUACCUCCGAGUGGGGCAUAGCUCGUCGAAAGACGGGGUAAUACCCCAUAAUAUCCCUUCAUAAUUUGGAGGGAUCAAAGAUUUAUUGCUUGGAGAGGGGCGGGCGGCCUAUCAGCUUGUUGGUGAGGUAAAAGCUCACCAAGGCUUUGACGGGUAGCUGGUCUUAGCGGACGACCAGCCAGACCGGGACUGAGACACGGCCCGGACUCCUACGGGAGGCAGCAGUUGGGAAUUUUGCGCAAUGGACGAAAGUCUGACGCAGCAACGUCGCGUGCAGGAUGACGCACUUCGGUGUGUAAACUGCUUUUAUUUGGGAAUAAUUUUUGAAGGUACCAAACGAAUAAGCACCGGCUAAUCUCGUGCCAGCAGCCGCGGUAAUACGAGAGGUGCAAACGUUGUCCGGAAUUACUGGGCGUAAAGAGCACGUAGGCGGUUUGAUAAGUCAUCUAUUAAAGACCGGGGCUUAACCCCGGGAAAGUGGAUGAUACUGUCAUACUAGAAUCUGGCAGGGGCUAGUAGAACACUCGGUGGAGGGGUGACAUCCGUAGAUAUCGAGUGGAAUACCAAAGGCGAAGGCAGCUAGCUGGGCCAGUAUUGACGCUGAGGUGCGAAAGCGUAGGUAGCGAUCGGGAUUAGAUACCCCGGUAGUCUACGCCGUAAACGAUGCAUACUAGGCAUUGGAGAGUAUCGACCCUUUCUUGUGCCGAAGCUAACGCGUUAAGUAUGCCGCCUGGGGAGUACGAACGCAAGUUUAAAACUCAAAGGAAUUGGCGGGGAGACGCACAAGCGGUGGAGCGUGUGGUUUAAUUCGAUAAUAAGCGAAGAACCUUACCCAGACUUGACAUCUCUGGAAUUUUCUAGAAAUAGAGAAGUGCCCGCAAGGGAGCCAGAUGACAGGUGCUGCACGGCUGUCGUCAGCUCGUGCCGUGAGGUGUUCCGUUCAGUCGGCAAACGAGCGCAACCCUUGCCCUUAGUUGUAUCACCCUAAGGGGACUGCCGCGGUUAACGCGGAGGAAGGUGGGGACGACGUCAAGUCAGCGUGGCCCUUACGUCUGGGGCGACACACGCGCUACAAUGGGGUGUACAAUGGGUUGCUAACCCGCGAGGGGGAGCUAAUCCCACCAAAACGCCUCUUAGUCCGGAUUGCAGUCUGCAACUCGACUGCAUGAAGCUGGAAUCGCUAGUAAUGGCCGGUCAGCCAUACGGCCGUGAAUACGUUCUCGUCUCUUGCACACACCGCCCGUCACAUCACGAAAGCCGGGGGCGCCCGAAGGCUCUGUUUUUAAUAGGGACUACGGCGAAUUCGGUGAUCAGGAUGAAGUCGUAACAAGGUAACC